UACGGAGGGGACUAGCGUUGUUCGGAAUUACUGGGCGUAAAGCGCACGUAGGCGGAUUUGUAAGUCAGGGGUGAAAUCCCGGGGCUCAACCUCGGAACUGCCUUUGAUACUGCAAAUCUCGAGUCCGGAAGAGGUGAGUGGAAUUCCUAGUGUAGAGGUGAAAUUCGUAGAUAUUAGGAAGAACACCAGUGGCGAAGGCGGCUCACUGGUCCGGUACUGACGCUGAGGUGCGACAGCGUGGGGAUCGAAACAGG
rnacentral:rRNA from 1 species